rnacentral:rRNA from 1 species
UACGAAGGGGGCUAGCGUUGUUCGGAAUUACUGGGCGUAAAGCGCACGUAGGCGGAUAUUUAAGUCAGGGGUGAAAUCCCAGGGCUCAACUCUGGAACUGCCUUUGAUACUGGGUAUCUUGAGUAUGGAAGAGGUGAGUGGAAUUCCGAGUGUAGAGGUGAAAUUCGUAGAUAUUCGGAGGAACACCAGUGGCGAAGGCGGCUCACUGGUCCAUAACUGACGCUGAGGUGCGAAAGCGUGGGGAGCAAACAGG